UCUGUUUCACUCUCAGUCAGAGGAACCAGACCAGGUAGUGGAGGAGGUGAAGGACAAACUACAUCUUCUGACAGAACACAACCUGCAGGUGGAGGCAGCAGACCAGGUACUGGACAGGGUGGUUCUGCAGGUAGGGGAAACAUUCCAUCAGCUGGCAGUGCGGUCCGGCCUGUGGGUGUCAAAAACUGUGGAACUUUCCCCACGGUUGCCAACGGUGAAGUAGUGGAAUCGAACGAAUCGUUUUUGAAGUACAGCUGCAAAAUUUUUUACAAACUAGUUGGUCCAGAAACAGUGCUGUGUUAUGGCGAUGGCACAUGGUCCGAUAUACCCAUCUGCAGAGAUGCCUACUGUGCUGUGAACACUGAUGAACAUCCACUGUUAGUUUCAGUCGGAAAAGUCUUUAUAAAAGAGGGAGAGGAAAAAGAAUUUGACUGUGUGCAUCAGGAAGAGUGGUGGUUUGAUAAUUACUCUGUGGGCAAGUGCACGACUGAAGGACUGAGGUUACAGAAAUGUUGUGGCAGGGCGCAAAUAAAGUUUAAAACUUGCUCAGGCGUUCUUGCAUAAGGGAGGAUUCUGCUGCUUCAAGAUUUGUUCAUUAUUGACUGAAGACAAACACCAGACACUUUCAGAGGACAAUAAUGUUUGGAUUAUGCAGUUACUCACUUUGCCCACUUUUCAAGAUGAUCCCCUCAUGCUAAGAUGAUGGAGGGGCUUUACUUUGUCUACAGAAAUAACAGCUAUGCAUGAUGAGCAUUUAUAAAUUGUACUCAAUAAAAUCUUUGUGACGA